UUCAGAAUGGAGAUAUCGAAUCACCCCGGUCUGAACACAAGCUGAGCGGCCUGUCUAUUUGAGGCAUUAGACCAAUCAGCACCUAAGUAGGUACCUAAGUAAUAUUUAGGAAAAAAAUCGGGCAGAGCCCGACAAAGAUUUUUUCAUUCUAUUAUUUUUAAUGUAGUAUAUAUAGUAAGCGUGCUGGCGAAUUCCGGAUAGAUAUGAAAGAUUAUAU